UACGUAGGGGGCAAGCGUUUGUCCGGAUUUAUUGGGCGUAAAGAGCGUGUAGGCGGCCUGAAAGGUCAGCUGUGAAAACUCGAGGCUCAACCUCGAGACGUCGGUUGAAACCAUCUGGCUAGAGUCCGGAAGAGGAGAGUGGAAUUCCCGGUGUAGCGGUGAAAUGCGCAGAUAUCGGGAAGAACACCCGUGGCGAAGGCGGCUCUCUGGGACGGUACUGACGCUGAGACGCGAAAGCGUGGGGAGCGAACAGG
rnacentral:rRNA from 1 species